ensembl:lncRNA
CCUCGGUAUCUGUACUUCCGGUUGGGAAUGUGUUCAGCACAGUUCUGCACAGAUGAGAGGUGUGUCGGAGGUGUCGGAGGAUUAACGUUUUUCCUUGCAUUCCUGUGUGUGUUAACCCUGUGUGCGUGCUUAUCAUACCCCGAAAAUGGCGCCGCGCUCCGCGGCGUGACGUCAACUCCAAAGCCCUAUACUGGCAGCCUUCAGCAGGAAGCAGCAUCAUCAUCAAGGACCCCUCCACCCUGGACACUCACUUUCCCACCUUCCCUCUGGUAAACUCUACAGGUCCAACAAAGACAAACAGACUCAGUAGAAGUUUCUACCUCCACCCUGAUUGAAGCACACUCACUCUCACUCCACUCCACGCCACCAGGGAAACAGAUCGGGGUCACGGACGAGUCCGAGAACCUGAGCACAAGAGAACUGCGGUGAGCAUAAACAGAAUAAUCACACGACAAACGGGGUUUAUCGGGGCUGUACUGACGAGAGUAAGUCCACCACCCAGCGAAGAAGCCUCUGAGCCUCAGCUUAAACAGCCCAGAAGCUGCGCCUCCUGUCCCCCGUUCAUGUGGUGGGAACGUCCUCAGACUGGGGGGGUCGUCCUCGCUCCUGCUGAUGUCUGAAAAGAGAUGAAUGUGGAGGAAACACGAGGCUGUAACUGAGAACUACAGUAACUUAUUACUUCAUCUUUUCAUUGUUAUUCAUGAGUGUUACUGAAACUGAGUGUGUGGAGUGUAAUCACAGUCCGUGUCCUCCUCCUCCUCCUCUCUGUAGUUCCCUCACGCUCUCCAUCUCCAUCUUUGCUAACAGGGAACAAACGUCUGUUUUUCUUUCAUGUCAGCUGAUGUUGUUCCAGCUGUGACACUGAAAGCUGAGCUCCUGUCUUAUUAUGAGCGACUGUCACGGUCUGGCUGGCAGACGGAAACAGGACCCAAACGGCGGACUCUUCAGUGCAACAGUGUUUAUUUAC